rnacentral:rRNA from 1 species
UACGUAGGCAGCAAGCGUUGUUCGGAGUUACUGGGCGUAAAGGGUGUGUAGGCGGUCGGGUAAGUGUGGUGUGAAAUCUCCCGGCUCAACUGGGAGGGUGCGCUACAAACUGUCUAGCUAGAGUGCGGGAUGGGAAAGUGGAAUUCCUGGUGUAGCGGUGAAAUGCGUAGAUAUCAGGAGGAACACCUGUGGUGUAGACGGCUUUCUGGACCAUAGCUGACGCUGAGACACGAAAGCGUGGGUAGCAAACAGG